CCAAACACAGUCGCGACUGAAUUCACGGGAAUAAUAAACUGAACAGGGGAUGAAAAAAAGAUAAGGACAACAGUUAGAGAAAAAGACAGAAAUCCGGGAGCAGCAGCACAAAAAAAUCUCGCUGCUGCUGCUCAGACGGCAACAGCUCCGCCCGCCUCUCCGUCUCUCACCGCCUGCGUCUACCUGUCUCUCCCUCUCUUUCUACCUGCCUCCCCCUCCCUCCGUCCCUCCCUCCGUCCCUCUCCUCCCCCCUCUCGGUGCGGACAUGCUCCCGGGGCUCCGGAGAUGAGGCUCCGAAAUGUCUCCUUCCUGACGGUCUUGUUGUUCGGGCUGUGCGGGCUGGUCUCCCUGUCCUGGUACACCGCCUUCAGCAGCUCCAGAGGAGAUGUGGUGGAUAUCUACCAGAGGGAGUUCCUGGCGUUGAGGGAGCGCCUCCACUCGGCCGAGCAGGAGAACCUGCGGCGCUCCAAAGAGCUGAACCUGGUCCUGGAAGAGAUCAAGAGGGCCAUCGCUGAGAAACAGGCGCUCAGAGACAUCAACCGCACCUGGAGCAGCCUCUCAGAGGAGACGAGGCUGAAGCUGUGGAAUGUGAGCAGCAGCAAAAACGUCCUGCAGCUUCCCUCCAUCUUCCAUCAUCUUCCUCACCUGCUGAACAGAGAGGACAGUCUGCAGCCCGCCGUGCACCUGGGACAGGGACGCACCGGAGUCUCCAUAGUGAUGGGGGUUCCCAGUGUGAAGAGGGAGGUCCACUCCUACCUGACCGACACCCUCAGCUCUCUGAUGUCAGAGCUCAGCGCCGCUGAGAAGGACGACUGCGUCAUCGUCGUCCUCAUCGCCGAGGCUGACCAGCAGUACGCCAGCAGUGUAGCAGACAACCUGAAGCGCCUUUUCCCGGCAGAGAUUCAGUCGGGCCUGUUGGAGGUCGUGUCCCCGUCCGUCCACUUCUACCCCGACUUCUCCCGACUCCGAGAGUCCUUCGGAGACCCAAAGGAGAGAGUCAGGUGGAGGACGAAGCAGAACCUGGACUACUGCUUCCUGAUGAUGUACGCUCAGUCCAAAGGAACUUACUACGUCCAGCUAGAGGACGACAUAGUCGCUCGUCCGAACUACUUCACCACCAUGAAGAACUUUGCGUUGCAGCAGCCGUCAGAGGAGUGGAUGAUCCUGGAGUUUUCUCAGCUCGGCUUCAUCGGUAAGAUGUUUAAGUCCUUGGACCUGUCACUCAUCGUGGAGUUCAUGCUGAUGUUCUACAAAGACAAACCCAUCGACUGGCUGCUGGACCACAUCAUGUGGGUCAAGGUCUGCAAUCCAGAGAAGGAUGCGAAACACUGUGACAGGCAGAAAGCCAACCUGAGGAUUCGGUUCAAACCGUCUCUCUUCCAACACGUUGGCACCCACUCCUCUCUGGCGGGAAAAAUUCAGAAACUCAAGGAUAAGGACUUUGGGAAGCAGACCCUCCAUAAGGGUCACGCCAACCCGCUGGCGGAGGUGACGACAAGCCUGAAGACCUACCAGCACUUCACCCUGGAGAAAGCCUACCUCGGGGAGGACUUCUUCUGGGCCUUCACCCCUGUAGCAGGGGACUUCAUAAGGAUACGAUUUUUCACACCUGUCCGUAUUGAGAGGUAUUUCUUUCGGAGCGGAAACAUCGAACAUCCAGGAGACAAACUUUUCAACACAUCAAUUGAGGUUCUGCCGUUCGACAAUAUUCAGGCAGAGAAAGAGGCCUUGACAGAAGGGAAGGAGAAAACGCCAAAGUACCACCGGACAGAGGACGGGUUUAUCAGAAUAGGAACAUUCCAGAACGGGAUCGCAGAGGGGGAGGUGGACCCCACAUUCGGGCCCCUGGAGGCCAUGCGUCUCUCAGUAAUGACGGACUCUCCGGUCUGGGUGAUUCUCAGCGAGAUCUUCAUAAAGAAAGCAGAGUGAAGCUCCUCUUCCCCGCCCCCCCCUCCGCCCCAGCGAUACCUCAGCACCUCCGAGCGUUCAGCCGAGCUGACCGGAGGCUCGUCAGCUGCCGUCCUGCUCCAGUCCUGCUCACCAGAUCCCCACCGCGGAGCCACAGCGCCGCCAUCUGGCCGGACCUAACCACCGCAGGGCUGAACAGAUCGGAGGCUGGAAACACAGAAAACACACAGACAGAGCGCUGAUGACGACGACGAUGAUGAUGAUGACAGGCCGUGAAACCUGUCUCCUGGUUUUGCACGACACACAUGCAACAAGAGAAGUUCCUGUCAGAUGAAGCUGUAAUUAAUCCUGAAGAAUCUGUAUUUAUGUGUACAUACUGCGAGGUAGAUGUUGAAAACACUGGUACCGCGGCGAGAGCGCCGAGCCACUUCUGAUGAUGAAACUGCUGCUUCGAAACUCAAAGGCCUCUUUCUAUCUGCAGACGUAGUUGCUGCUCGGGGUUCUCACGUUUUCCCUCCAUCGGUGAGCGAUUUGCCUUAAAGACGAAGAGCAGGUUUACUUCCAACAGAACCGGGGCCGGACUGAAAACUGUAGCAACCACCAAUGUCCAGAGUCCUCGGACCGUCUCACGUCGCUGUGAAACUACUGAUGACAGCUGGUACUCUGCUUUUCUAACCGAGUCUUUUAAAGCUGUUUUAUUUUAGGUUAACUGAGGCCUUGUCACUGAGACCGCUGUGUUUUUCCCCCCACAGUACUCUGGUGUACUCUACAGUACUCUGGUGUACUCUACAGUACUCUGGUGUACUCUACAGUACUCUACAGUACUCUACAGUACUCUAUGAUACUCUGGUGUACUCUACAGUACUCUGGUAUACUCUGGUGUACUCUACAGUACUCUGGUGUACUCUACAGUACUCUGGUGUACUCUACAGUACUUACAGUACUCUGGUGUACUCUACAGUACUCUGGUGUACUUUACAGUACUCUACAGUACUCUUACGGUACUCUACGGUACUCUGGUGUGCUCUACAGUACUCUGGUGUAGUCUGGUGUACUCUACAGUACUCUGAUGUACUCUACAGUACUCUACAGUACUCUGGUGUACUCUACAGUACUCUCCGGUACUCUGGUGUACUCUACAGUACUCUACAUUACUCUAUUUACUGUGGUGUACUCUACAUUACUCUGGUUUACUCUAAAGUACUUUACAGUGCUCUACGGUACUCUGGUAUACUCUGGUGUACUCUACAGUACUCUGGUUUACUCUACAGUACUCUACAGUACUCUGGUGUACUCUACAGUACUUUACAGUACUCUGGUGUACUCUACAGUACUCUACAGUAAUCUACGGUACUCUACGGUACUCUGGUGUACUCUACAGUACUCUGGUGUACUUUACAGUACUCUAUGGUACUCUACAGUACUCUGGUGUACUCUACAGUACUCUACGGUAUUCUGAUGUACUCUACAUUACUCUGAUGUACUCUACAAUACUCUACAGUACUUCACAGUACUCUAAUGUACUCUACAGUACUCUGAUGUACUCUACAGUACUGUACAGUACUCUGGUGUACUCUACAGUACUCUACAGUACUCUGCAGUACUCUGGUGUACUCUACAGUACUCUGGUGUACUCUGGUGUACUCUACAGUACUCUACAGUACUCUAUGGUACUCUACAGUACUGUAAUAUACUCUGCAUUACUCUGAUGUAUUUCACAGCACUCAGAUAUACUCUACAGUACUCUACAUUACUCUGAUGUACUCUACAAUACUCUACAGUACUUCACAGUACUCUAAUGUACUCUACAGUACUCUGAUGUACUCUAGAGUACUCUGGUGUACUCUGGUGUUCUCUGGUUUACUCUACAGUACUCUACAGUACUGUAAUAUACUCUGCAUUACUCUGAUGUAUUUCACAGUACUCAGAUAUACUCUGCAGUACUCUGGUGUACUCUGAUGUACUCUGGUGUACUCUACAGUAUUCUGAUGUGCAGUACUGUAAUUUCCUCUGCUGUGAUCUGUUGUACUUUACUGUACUGUUGUUUUUCAGUCCAGCGCAAAAACACUGAUUCACAUGUUUUCUCUCUUUUCUUUCUUCAGUUGCUCAUUGACAUGUUUGGUAAUAAAUAGUAAUAAAUUAUAAAAUUCUUCCACCAAUUUAAUUGUCAUUUCUCUGUAAAGAUGCUGUCGUGUUGGCUAAUCUGUCAGAGAAGAGAGCUCCUGAUAAACUGUUCCCUCAAAUUACUAAUUUUUGUCCUUUAUAAACUUAUUUUAUCCCUGAAACGUAAUAUUUGCUUCUGUAAAACGACUUAAUUCAUGUUUCCUUGUCUCCUCCCCACUCUCACUGUGGACUGACUGGAUCUUAUUCUUUGUUUUAGGUCUGGAACUGAGAUGCAGGGAUAGAAAUCAGAUUUUGUCUGUCAAACACAAGGGCCAGAUUAUCUCCUGAAGGGGCCCCUGGGACCAAAAGGAGCAGGGUGUAAAGAUUUGGUAAAAAUGAGAAGCCAAUUUAAGGCCCUCAGUCUUUCACUUUGCUCUGUGCUUUAGUGGUGCAUAUUCUCAAGCACAUGACCUUCCUUCACAAUAAAAUAGAGCAGUGUGAUAAAUAAUCGCAGUAAAAGAGUGUGAAGAGUGAAAGAGCAGAGCUUUCUCCUCCCUCAUUGCCACCGCUCAGGUGCCCUUGAGCCAGAGCCCGAACCCCCUACUGCUCCCGUGGUUGUACUGGCCUCCAGUGAAUGUGUGUUACUGUUUCAAUAACUAAAGGUUCAAAAAAGGUGUGUAUUUUUAACCCAAGUUUAGCUCGGCGAUAUCUUUUCACGUACACAUCAACAAAUCCACAUUUACUGUUUUCUCAGUAACUCAACUGUAAAAAUUAUUCAUUUGUGGGAACAAAAUUACUGAUUUGAGGAAACGAUUCAUCAAAAUUUUUCCUCCACCAAAACCUUCUUCAGGCUCCAUAGGAUGCAGCUCCCCCCUUGUGUCCCAGUUGGUCUUCAUUCAUUGAUGGGGGGGUUCAAAUGGAAAACAGACCGAGCACAACUUCAGUUUUUCAGAUGUGAAGUGAACUGAGUGUCUACGAGCUUCAGGAAACAUCCAGAGUUUUGUUUUUUUUCUUUGUAAGAUGCACUGGAAUGCAUUGCUAUAAUCAUGUGUUUGUCUUUUGUAUCCUUUAAAUAAACUCUAUUUAAAU